rnacentral:rRNA from 1 species
ACUUUCAGUAAUAGAUCUCUUGGCUCUUGCAUUAAUGAAGAAUACAGUAAAAUAUAAUAAGUAAUGUGAAUUGCAGAAUUCAGUGAAUCUUUGAAUCUUUGAACACACCUUGUACUCCUUGGUAUUCUGAAUAUGCUUGUUUAAGUAUUAGUCAUUUUUCAACUUACCUAUAUUUCUUGCUAGGUGAGGCUUGUAUGUAGAGGGAAAUAUGUGCAGGCCUUUUAUGACUAUGUCAUGGAUCAGCUUCUCUGAAAUGCAUUAGUGGAGCUACUUAUAACCUUGCUAUAGGCAUGAUAAAUACUUCUAUGCUAAGUGGGGUUUGUUUUGUUAUAGCUUGGCUUCCAACUCAGUCUGUGAAGACUUUUAACUAAGUUUCUUGACCUCAAAUCAGAUAGGACUAUCUACUAAACUUAAGUAUAUCAAUAAGUAGAGAAAAAGAAACUAACAAGGAUUUUCCUAGUAAUUGUAAGUGAAGUGGAAAGAGCUCAAAUUUAAAAUCUGACAAUCUCUGGCUGUCUCAGUUGUAAUCUAGAAAAGUGUUGUCUAUACUGGACUAUGUACAAGUCUUCUGGAAUAGAGCAUUAUAAAGGGUGAGAAUCCUAUCUCUAAUAUGGAUUACCAGGGCUUUUGUAGUGUGCUCUCAAAAAGUCAAGUUGUUUGGGAAUACAGCUCAAAAUGAGUGGUAAAUUCUAUUUAAAGCUAAAUAUUAGUAAGAGACUAAUAGUGAACAAGUACUAUGAGAGAAAGAUAAGAAGAACUUUGGAAAGAGAGUUAAAUAGUACAUGAAAUUACUAAAAGAGAAAUGCUUAAAGUUAGUUAUAUUGGCCAGAGAUCAGCCUUACUUCUUAGUGUGGUGUACUUCUUGGUUAAUAGAUCAACAUUGGUUUUGACUACCAGAGAAAGGCUUGGAAAAUGUGGCAGCUUUGGCUAUGUUAUAGCCUCUUGUCAGAUACAGUGGUUAGAACUGAGGAAUACAGAAUAUUACAAGACUGGAGCUAUAUCAGUCUAUGUUCAUGCUUAGGAUGUUAACAUAAUAGCUUUAAGCAAUCCAUCUUGAAACAUAGACCAAGGAGUUUAAUAUGAUUGCAAGUGUUUGGGUAGAAAAUCCAUGUAGAUAAUGAAAGUGAAAGUUGAGAUCUCUGUCAUAGAAAGUAUUAACAUCCAGACCAGAACUUCUUAGGAUAAAUCUGCAGUAGAGGUUGGGACCUGAAAGAUAGUGAACUAUGUCUAAAUAGGAUGAUGCUAGAGAAAACUCUGGUAGAGGCUCAUAGCAAUUCUGAUGUGCAAAUCAAUUGUCAAAUUUAGGUAUAGGGACAAAAGACUAAUUGAACUAUCUAGUAGCCAGUUCUUACUGAAGUUUUUCUUAGGAUAGCAGAAACUUAUAUUAGAUUUAUGUGGUAAAGUGAAUGAUUAGAGACCUUGGGAUUGAAAUAACCUUAAUCUAUUAUCAAACUUUAAAUAUGCAAGAAUAGGCUAUUUCUUAAUUGAACUGCUCAGUGAUUAAGAGUUUCUAGUAGGCUAUCUUUGGUAAGUAGAACUGGUGAUAUGGAAUAAACCAAACAUAAGGUUAGAGUACUGGAAUUCACACUCAUUAGACACCAUAAAAGAUGUUAGUUCAUUUAGAUAGUAAGAUAGUAGCCAUAAAAGUUGAAAUCUGUUAAAAAGUAUGUAAUAACUCAUCUACUAAAUAAAUUAGCUCUAAAAAUAAAUGGUGCUUAAGUAUGAUACCUAUAUCUCACCAUUAGUGUUGAAGUAAGAUGCUAAUAAGUAGGUAGGUGUGGAAGUCAGUAAAGAAGCCUUAGCAGUGAUGCUAGGUAAAAUAGUCUUUAAUGUAGAUUUUAAUGCUAGUAGCAAAUAUUUAGGUAAGAACCUUGAAGACUGAAGUGGAGAAAGAUUCCAUAGUAACAGCAAUUGAAUAUGGGUCAGUUGAUUCUAAGAGAUAGAAAAGCUCUGUUUCAAAGUACAUGAUUUUUCAUGCUGUCUAUUGAAAGGAAAUCCAGUUAAAAUUCCAGAACCAGGACAUGAAUCUUUGGCAGUAACAUAACUGAGCUUAGAGAUAUUGGUAGAAGUCUUGAAAAGAAUUCUCUUUUCUCCUUAAUAGCCUACCACCCUGAAAUCAGAUUAUCUAGAGCUAGGAUUCAAUAGCUGGUAGAGCAUAAUAUCUUUGUUGUGUUUAGUAUAUUCUUGACAACCCUUAAAAAUCCAAGAGAAUGGAUAAUUUUCAUAUCUGGUCAUACUCAUAACUGCAGCAGGUCUCCAAAAUGAACAACUUCUAGUUGAUAAAACAAUAUAAAUAAGAGAAGUUAGCAAAAUAGAUCUAUAACUUUAAGAAAAGGAUUAUCUCUAAGAGUUAGAUAUAUUAGGCUUUGGCUAAAAGCUCUAGAACUCAGCUAGGACUACUUAGAGAACAAUCUCUAAGUGGAUCUUGCUAGGACUUGGAUGUGAAUGGCUUUGGCUACUCCUUAUAAGAUGUCUGGUAUAUUCUUAAUAACCAACUUAGAACUGGUAUAAACAAGGAGAAUCUGACUGUCUAAUUAAAACAUAGCAUUGCAAUGGCUAAAAAGUAAUGUUGAUACAAUGUGAUUUCUAUCCAGUACUCUGAAUGUCAAAGUAAAUAAAUUCAACUAAGCAUAGGUAAAUAGUGGGAGUAACUAUGACUUUCUUAAAAUAGCCAAAUGUCUUGUUAUCUAAUUAGUAAUGCACAUGAAUAGAUUAAUGAGAUUCCC